rnacentral:rRNA from 1 species
GGCUUCGGCCAAUGGAACUUGAAGUUAGUGGCGAACGGGUGAGUAACGCGUGAGUAACCUGCCUUUCAGUGGGGGACAACAGUUGGAAACGACUGCUAAUACCGCAUAAUGUGCGAAGGGGGCAUCCUCUUUGUACCAAAGAUUUAUUGCUGAAAGAUGGACUCGCGUCUGAUUAGCUUGUUGGCGGGGUAACGGCCCACCAAGGCGACGAUCAGUAGCCGGGUUGAGAGACUGAACGGCCACAUUGGGACUGAGAUACGGCCCAGACUCCUACGGGAGGCAGCAGUGGGGAAUAUUGGGCAAUGGGCGAAAGCCUGACCCAGCAACGCCGCGUGAAGGAAGAAGGCCCUCGGGUUGUAAACUUCUUUUACCAGGGACGAAACAAAUGACGGUACCUGGAGAAAAAGCUCCGGCUAACUACGUGCCAGCAGCCGCGGUAAUACGUAGGGAGCAAGCGUUGUCCGGAUUUACUGGGUGUAAAGGGCGUGUAGGCGGAGACGCAAGUCAGAAGUGAAAUCUCGGGGCUCAACCCCGAAACUGCUUUUGAAACUGUGUCCCUUGAGUGAUGGAGAGGC